CCUUGAAGAUCGGAGUGCUUGCACUCUGUGAAACAAGAUACAGGCUAGCGGCGGACGGGUGAGUAACACGUGGGUAACCUGCCCAAGAGAUCGGGAUAACACCUGGAAACAGAUGCUAAUACCGGAUAACAACAGAUGAUGCCUAUCAACUGUUUAAAAGAUGGUUCUGCUAUCACUCUUGGAUGGACCUGCGGUGCAUUAGCUAGUUGGUAGGGUAACGGCCUACCAAGGCGAUGAUGCAUAGCCGAGUUGAGAGACUGAUCGGCCACAUUGGGACUGAGACACGGCCCAAACUCCUACGGGAGGCAGCAGUAGGGAAUCUUCCACAAUGGACGCAAGUCUGAUGGAGCAACGCCGCGUGAGUGAAGGAGGGUUUCGGCUCGUAAAGCUCUGUUGUUGGUGAAGAAGGACAGGGGUAGUAACUGACCUUUGUUUGACGGUAAUCAAUUAGAAAGUCACGGCUAACUACGUGCCAGCAGCCGCGGUAAUACGUAGGUGGCAAGCGUUGUCCGGAUUUAUUGGGCGUAAAGCGAGUGCAGGCGGUUCGAUAAGUCUGAUGUGAAAGCCUUCGGCUCAACCGGAGAAUUGCAUCAGAAACUGUCGAGCUUGAGUACAGAAGGGGAGAGUGGAACUCCAUGUGUAGCGGUGAAAUGCGUAGAUAUAUGGAAGAACACCGGUGGCGAAGGCGACUCUCUGGUCUGUUACUGACGCUGAGGCUCGAAAGCAUGGGUAGCGAACAGGAUUAGAUACCCUGGUAGUCCAU
rnacentral:rRNA from 1 species